UGGGGAAUAUUGCACAAUGGGCGAAAGCCUGAUGCAGCAACGCCGCGUGAGUGAUGAAGGCCCUCGGGUUGUAAAGCACUUUUGUCCGGAAAGAAAUCCUUGGCUCUAAUACAGUCGGGGGAUGACGGUACCGGAAGAAUAAGCACCGGCUAACUACGUGCCAGCAGCCGCGGUAAUACGUAGGGUGCAAGCGUUAAUCGGAAUUACUGGGCGUAAAGCGUGCGCAGGCGGUUUGCUAAGACCGAUGUGAAAUCCCCGGGCUCAACCUGGGAACUGCAUUGGUGACUGGCAGGCUAGAGUAUGGCAGAGGGGGGAUAGAAUUCCACGUGUAGCAGUGAAAUGCGUAGAGAUGUGGAGGAAUACCGAUGGCGAAGGCAGCCCCCUGGGCCAAUACUGACGCUCAUGCACGAAAGCGUGGGGAGCAAACAGGAUUAGAUACCCUGGUAGUCCACGCCCUAAACGAUGUCAACUAGUUGUUGGGGGCAUUCAUUUUCCUUAGUAACGUAGCUAACGCGUGAAGUU
rnacentral:rRNA from 1 species